AGGCUACUUUCUAUCUGCCAUAAUGCUUUUAGAAUACAAGCCAAAAUAUGCCUCUCUUCUUCUAAGUUCUACAGAGUCCUCCCAGCUAGCUCCGAAUAACAUAUUCAUGUGGCCAAUAAAGCCAGUGAAAUCUCCCCUACCUUUUCAUCCUCCCCAGCUACCCUUUUCUCUGACCUGCUUUUUCUGUUCACUUGGAUCUAGCCAUGUAAUCCAUGUUUCCCCCAGAAUACCCUCACAGCAUGCCCCUUCGUGAUAGGCUAUUCAGAAACCUCAUUCAUCACCUAUCUGCAUAGUUUGCUCCUUCACUUUCUUGAGAUCUUGUUGACAAAUCUUCUUUUCCUCUCAGAGAGCUGUAUUAUAGAAAACCACCACCUACAACCACUUUCCGCUUACCACCAUUCAUAGCCCUCCUCACUAGCUACUUUGUUCCUGGGUUUGUCUUCGAAGUGCUUUGAAGAAUACCUAACAGGCAGUAGCUACUCGGUAAAUGUUUAUUAAAUGGAUGUUUGAAUACAAAUAAACAAGGACAAUUUUGAAAUCAAAAUGGCAUAAACUAUGUGGUUAAUUUUAGUUUCUAUACCAAAAUUAAAAAGCUAUUUUCAGAGGCCAUAAAAUCAUAAAACACAACUUUGUUUUUAUAUAAAAAUAGAAAACCCUAUGGAUUUUCAGUCCUUGCAGGGAAGACUCCUGACUUUGACCCUGGCUAUCCUUUCUUGCUUCAUGAAUCACCUUUACAAACUAAGUUACAGGAUUAGAAGAGAAGCCAUUAUAUAGACUGCUGAAAAAAAGCAGCAUUUCAAAACUCAUAGACAAACACAAGUAAUGGCCCCCUCUAACCUAUUAUCAGUGCAAAAGAAAAAAAAAAGAGAGAUUCAGAUUUGGGGAUGUGGGAAGAGGGCUCUUAAUUUUGUUUUAUGAAAUAAAUGUUAAAUCACAACAACAGUCACAGACCUUCUGCCAAAUAUAGCUUCAAAAAAUGCCUGAUGACAUUUGGGUCUUAACAAUCCUUCAAGUGGCAAGAGUUGUGAGGCCUCCCUGAGCCUUUUACAUCUGUAUAUAUUCAACGUCAUUGAAUGUUGUUGCAUGAAGUUUCCUUGUAGGAUAUUGACACAGGCCUUCUGAUGGAUUUAUUGUUUCACCUAGUCUUGUAAAGGGCACACCCUGCAGUUCCAUUUGUUCAAUCAUGUACUUAUCUCCUCCCUUAAUAAAAAGAAAUAUUU
rnacentral:lncRNA from 1 species